CAAAGUGAAGCCAUCGCGCGUAAUUUAUAUGUCAUGUCACAAUUGCAAAUUCCUAUUAUUAGUAUUGUCAUUGGGGAAGGCGGCUCUGGCGGAGCACUUGCCAUUGGUGUGGCAGAUCGCCUUUUAAUGUUGCAAUAUAGUAUUUAUGCUGUGAUUUCUCCUGAAGGCUGUGCUUCCAUUCUAUGGAAAAGUGCCGAUAAAGCUGAAGAGGCAGCUCACGCCAUGGGGCUGACUGCUCCCCGCCUUAAAGAAUUGCAGCUCAUUGACCAGGUCAUUCCCGAACCGCUUGGAGGGGCACAUCGAGAUACUGAAACGAUGGCAAAACACUUAAAACAUGCCAUUGAAAAAAAUCUCUCUGAAUUAAAACGGCUUUCCCUUGAAAAGCUGCUUGCCCAGCGCUAUCAAAAAUAUCUUGCUAUUGGAAAACAUGAAUAAUUAUUGG
rnacentral:misc_RNA from 1 species